GUACGUAGCUCAUUGGGUAGAGCAUGAGACUCUUAAUCUCGGAGUCGCUGGUUCAAGCCCCACGUUGGGCA